GGGGGCUGAAAUGAACUCUGUGAGGAUUCUUAGCUUUGGUGGUUUAAUGCUCUAUUUUUGUGCUUGUUGGCCUCCUGCCAGGUGGCGGCGCUUUCCGGAGAGCAUCAGCUGUGGUAACAUGGAGAGAAACCAGAGAGUGGGUGGGGCUUUAGAACUUCCAAGACAGAGGCUCUGGAAGCCUCUGUCUUCAGCUACCAGAGUGGGUAGGGAAGGACCAUCAAGUGGGGGCAGGGCUAGGUGUGUCUGAGCUCAGACUCUCCUUGGGUGAGUCUUGCUGUGGCUGCUGUGGGGGAGGGGGGGGUGAGGUUCCCAGGUGAAUAGAGUUGUGUACCUAGGAGGAUAAUGGCUGCCUCUGCUGAGUCAUGCAGGUUGUUAGGGAAGUGAGGGAAAGCUGGCAGUCACAGGCCUCACCCAGCUCCCAUGCAAUCCAAAUGGCCAGUCUCACUCUCACCAUGCCCCCUCUAAAGCAUUGAGUCUGUUUCCAAGCAGUGGGUAAGCAGGGGUGAGAACUUGCCGCAGGCUACCCACCUCCCAGCUGUGAAAGAAAAGGGCUUUCGUUCUUCCCCCACCUGUGGAGUCUACACGCUGGAUUUGUGCCCUCCCUUGAGUUCUGGCCAGGAGGCUUCUCCACCUGUUCAAAUUGUUAUAAAGUUCAGCUGGAGACUUCCUUCUCUCCGUGGCAUUUUCCUCAUGCCUCUGGCCACCCUCCCAAAGGAUCCCUGUGAGGCCAGGCAGGAAUGGCCUGCUUGGGGACCCAGCAAGCUUCUAGGGCCUUUGCUGCUGCUUCCUCUACCCCUGUAUUUCGCUCGGCUCUCUAAAUGGACUCAGCUCCAGAUGAGGAAACGGAGAUUCACAAAAAUCAGGUCAUUUGUCUGAGGUCCGAGUACUGUGUGAUAGAGCAAAGAUUUGAACCCAGCUGGAAAAAUCUGAAAUCCUCUGUUAGUAAGGUUAGAAUGAGCGGACACCCUGAACUGUGAAGAGCAUAUUGGACUGGAUGUCCAGGGACCUGGGCUCUAUUUCUCACGCUGACAUGUGAUCCUAGACCCAUCACUUUCAUCUUCUAACUCUCUACUUACAGGUAAAUUGUCUUGUGAUUAUUUCCACAGAACUCUGACUUGGAUAAGACUUGUAUCCAUUUUAUUACGAUGUUCUUCUUUUUUACAAUUUAGUUCCCCAGAGGGCAAGACCAAGUUAAAAAUGUCAGAGAGAAGCACUUCCUGCUGUAGUUCCUGUCUUGGUCCUCUUGAACCCUAUUCCAAAGACAAUCAGAGCUUUCAGUAUCAUGAAAGAUGCACAAUAUUUCAUUAUGUGGAUGCACUACAGUUAACCAGACUCCUAUUGUUGGACAAAUUGGACAGGCUGCAUGGAGAUUGUAGCAUGAAUGCAGAUAUUGGAAAUUUACUGGAUGUAUGAUCAGACAAACCAAUUGAAGUGGAGAAGAGAACCAAUCAGCCAAAUCAUUACAGAAGUUGCACCACUGCCUGAAAUAUCUUGACUGAUUCUAUAUAAGUUGAAUUUUUGCCGAAUAAAUUCUGAAAAUAAUUACAAGCUUCCUUUUGAUUUGAAUGUUACACAUCAAGUUCUAGUAAGAGCUAAUUUUACAUCAUUGACAGAUAACAAAAUAGAAGGAACAAAGUGCCCUUUGAGUUAAGGGCACUCCAAUGUCCCGGAAUUUAACCUUUUUGUCAGAUCAAUAAGGUUUAGUGCAACUAGCCAGACACCUGUCC
rnacentral:lncRNA from 10 species